rnacentral:rRNA from 1 species
UGAGAAUCUGCCUUGGGGUCGGGGACAACCACUGGAAACGGUGGCUAAUACCGGAUAAGCCUUUGGGUAAAAAAUUUAUUGCCCCAAGAGGAGCUCGCGUCUGAUUAGCUAGUUGGUGAGGUAAAAGCUCACCAAGGCAGCGAUCAGUAGCUGGUCUGAGAGGACGAUCAGCCACACUGGGACUGAGACACGGCCCAGACUCCUACGGGAGGCAGCAGUGGGGAAUUUUCCGCAAUGGGCGAAAGCCUGACGGAGCAAGACCGCGUGAGGGAGGAAGGCUCUUGGGUUGUAAACCUCUUUUCUCAGGGAAGAAGCUCUGACGGUACCUGAGGAAUCAGCCUCGGCUAACUCCGUGCCAGCAGCCGCGGUAAUACGGAGGAGGCAAGCGUUAUCCGGAAUUAUUGGGCGUAAAGCGUCCGCAGGUGGCGAUUCAAGUCUGCUGUCAAAGCACGGGGCUUAACUCCGUUAAGGCAGUGGAAACUGAAUAGCUAGAGUGCCGUAGGGGUAGAGGGAAUUCCCGGUGUAGCGGUGAAAUGCGUAGAGAUCGGGAAGAACAUCGGUGGCGAAAGCGCUCUACUGGACGGCAACUGACACUCAGGGACGAAAGCUAGGGGAGCGAAUGGGAUUAGAUACCCCAGUAGCCCUAGCUGUAAACGAUGGAUACUAGGUGUAGCUUGUAUCGACCCGAGCUGUGCCGAAGCUAACGCGUUAAGUAUCCCGCCUGGGGAGUACGCACGCAAGUGUGAAACUCAAAGGAAUUGACGGGGGUCCGCACAAGCGGUGGAGUAUGUGGUUUAAUUCGAUGCAACGCGAAGAUCCUUACCAGGGCUUGACAUGUCCGGAAUCCCGGUGAAAGCUGGGAGUGCCUUCGGGAGCCGGAACACAGGUGGUGCAUGGCUGUCGUCAGCUCUUGUCGUGAGAUGUUGGGUUAAGUCCCGCAACGAGCGCAACCCUCGUCUUUAGUUGCCAGCAUUAAGUUGGGCACUCUAGAGAGACCGCCGGUGACAAACCGGAGGAAGGUGGGGAUGACGUCAAGUCAGCGUGCCCCUUACGCUCUGGGCGACACACGUACUUCAAUGGUCGGGACAGAGGGCAGCGAACCUGCGAAGGCAAGCUAAUCCCAGCAAACUCGGCCUCAGUUCAGAU